rnacentral:rRNA from 1 species
UACGUAGGAGACGAGCGUUGUCCGGAAUUACUGGGCGUAAAGCGCGUGUAGGCGGAUGGGCAAGUCUGCUGUGAAAGCUCCUGGCUUAACCGGGAGUGGUCGGUGGAAACUGCCAAUCUGGAGGACGGUAGAGGUAGGUAGAAUUCCCGGUGUAGUGGUGAAAUGCGCAGAUAUCAGGAGGAACACCGGUGGCGAAGGCGGGUCUCUGGGCCGAUACUGACGCUGAGGAGCGAAAGCGUGGGGAGCGAACAGG